UACGGAGGGUGCAAGCGUUAUCCGGAAUCAUUGGGUUUAAAGGGUCCGCAGGCGGUUCUAUAAGUCAGUGGUGAAAUCUCUCGGCUCAACCGAGAAACUGCCAUUGAUACUGUAGGACUUGAAUUCGGUCGAAGUGGGCGGAAUAUGACAUGUAGCGGUGAAUGCUUAGAUAUGUCAUAGAACACCGAUAGCGAAGGCAGCUCACUAGGCCUGGAUUGACGCUCAGGGACGAAAGCGUGGGGAGCAACAGG
rnacentral:rRNA from 1 species